rnacentral:tRNA from 1 species
AAGGUCUUAGCUUAAUUAAAGUGUCUGUUUUGCAUGCAGGAGAUGUGGGUUAGAGGCCCGCAGACCUUA